UACGAAGGGGGCUAGCGUUGCUCGGAAUCACUGGGCGUAAAGCGCACGUAGGCGGAUUUUUAAGUCAGGGGUGAAAUCCUGGAGCUCAACUCCAGAACUGCCUUUGAUACUGGGAAUCUCGAGUCCGGAAGAGGUGAGUGGAACUGCGAGUGUAGAGGUGAAAUUCGUAGAUAUUCGCAAGAACACCAGUGGCGAAGGCGGCUCACUGGUCCGGUACUGACGCUGAGGUGCGAAAGCGUGGGGAGCAAACAGGAUUAGAAACCCCCGUAGUCC
rnacentral:rRNA from 1 species